GUUGGGGUGUCAGAUAAAUGUGUUAAAUUUAGGAUUUAAUUAUGGGCAUAGCUCCCCUAAUA
rnacentral:tRNA from 1 species